rnacentral:rRNA from 1 species
AUUGAACGCUGGCGGCAUGCCUUACACAUGCAAGUCGAACGGUAACAGGUCUUCGGAUGCUGACGAGUGGGGAACGGGUGAGUAAUACAUCGGAACGUGCCCGAUCUUGGGGGAUAACGAAGCGAAAGCUUUGCUAAUACCGCAUAAGAUCUACGGAUGAAAGCAGGGGACCGCAAGGCCUUGCGCGAACGGAGCGGCCGAUGGCAGAUUAGGUAGUUGGUGGGAUAAAAGCUUACCAAGCCGACGAUCUGUAGCUGGUCUGAGAGGACGACCAGCCACAUUGGACUUGGGCACGGCCCAAGAUCCCUCGGGGGGGAGCAGGAGGGAAACUUCCGCAAAGGGCGGAAGGCUUACUCAGCAACGCCGGGGGGGAGAAUGAGGGCUUUGGGGUGGUAGACUGCGUUUUUAGGGAAGAAAAAGUAUCGUGCUAAUACGUCGGGACCAUGACGGUACCGAAAGAAAAAGCAACGGCUAACUACGUG